rnacentral:rRNA from 1 species
UACGUAGGGUGCAAGCGUUGUCCGGAAUUAUUGGGCGUAAAGAGCUCGUAGGCGGUUUGUCGCGUCUGCUGUGAAAACCCGAGGCUCAACCUCGGGCCUGCAGUGGGUACGGGCAGACUAGAGUGCGGUAGGGGAGAUUGGAAUUCCUGGUGUAGCGGUGGAAUGCGCAGAUAUCAGGAGGAACACCAAUGGCGAAGGCAGAUCUCUGGGCCGUAACUGACGCUGAGGAGCGAAAGCAUGGGGAGCGAACAGGG